ACAUGCCUACAACAUAGCAUUAAUACAUUGGAUCCCAUUAGAACUGCACAAUUAAGUGCGUUCAGGCUAGAGUAGUACUUGGAUGGGUGACCUCCCAGGAAGUCCUAGUAUUUUACAUGCC
rnacentral:rRNA from 1 species